UCUCCGUUGGUGAACCAGCGGAGGGAUCAUUAUUAGAGCCUAAAAGCUCCCAAACCACUGUGAACUUACCUGUUUCGUUGCUUCGGCAGGCGGCCCCAGGGCGGGGCCUUUGCUGUAACGGCGCCUGCCGGAGGUACCAAAACUAUUGCUGUUUAGUGUUAUCUGAGCCUAAAGACAAAUCAGUCAAAACUUUCAACAACGGAUCUCUUGGUUCUGGCAUCGAUGAAGAACGCAGC
rnacentral:misc_RNA from 1 species